AAAUGAGACACAGCUUUAUUGAUUAUUUAAGCCUGUCUGCUGGGCCUACCCCUUGGAGAAAACCAGCUAUGAGUAAAAGAUGGAUGAGAAAACACUGCCAUGGGCUGAGGUACUGAUGAAGCUUGUAACUGGGCUCUGUGUUUUGCCUGUUUGAAAGCAGAGACUAUCAGUGCAGGACACACACAUGCUGGGGCUGCAGCAUCCUCAUGAAUUGUUUUGUAGCAUUUAAACAGCUUCUUUUUUCCAAAGAACUCAAAUGCAAAUAAUUAAGUCUGUGUGUCAUCAAAGCAGGGAAAAACUACAGCCU
rnacentral:lncRNA from 1 species